rnacentral:rRNA from 1 species
AACGAACGCUGGCGGCAUGCCUAACACAUGCAAGUCGAACGAUGCCUUCGGGCAUAGUGGCGCACGGGUGCGUAACGCGUGGGAAUCUGCCUUUCGGUUCGGAAUAACUCAGGGAAACUUGAGCUAAUACCGGAUAACGUCGCAAGACCAAAGAUUUAUCACCGAAAGAUGAGCCCGCGUAGGAUUAGCUAGUUGGUGAGGUAAAGGCUCACCAAGGCGACGAUCCUUAGCUGGUCUGAGAGGAUGAUCAGCCACACUGGGACUGAGACACGGCCCAGACUCCUACGGGAGGCAGCAGUGGGGAAUAUUGGACAAUGGGCGAAAGCCUGAUCCAGCAAUGCCGCGCGAGUGAUGAAGGCCUUAGGGUUGUAAAGCUCUUUUACCCGGGAAGAUAAUGACGGUACCGGGAGAAUAAGCCCCGGCUAACUCCGUG